AGAGUUUGAUUCUGGCUCAGGACGAACGCUGGCGGCGUGCUUAACACAUGCAAGUCGAACGAUGAAGCCUAGCUUGCUAGGUGGAUUAGUGGCGAACGGGUGAGUAAUACGUGAGUAACCUACCUUUAACUCUGGGAUAAGCCUGGGAAACUGGGUCUAAUACCGGAUACGACCAAUCUCCGCAUGGGGUGUUGGUGGAAAGCGUUAUGUAGUGGUUAUAGAUGGGCUCACGGCCUAUCAGCUUGUUGGUGAGGUAACGGCUCACCAAGGCGACGACGGGUAGCCGGCCUGAGAGGGUGACCGGCCACACUGGGACUGAGACACGGCCCAGACUCCUACGGGAGGCAGCAGUGGGGAAUAUUGCACAAUGGGCGCAAGCCUGAUGCAGCGACGCCGCGUGAGGGAUGACGGCCUUCGGGUUGUAAACCUCUGUUAGCAGGGAAGAAGAGAGAUUGACGGUACCUGCAGAGAAAGCGCCGGCUAACUACGUGCCAGCAGCCGCGGUAAUACGUAGGGCGCGAGCGUUGUCCGGAAUUAUUGGGCGUAAAGAGCUUGUAGGCGGUUUGUCGCGUCUGCUGUGAAAGGCCGGAGCUUAACUCCGUGUAUUGCAGUGGGUACGGGCAGACUAGAGUGCAGUAGGGGAGACUGGAAUUCCUGGUGUAGCGGUGGAAUGCGCAGAUAUCAGGAGGAACACCGAUGGCGAAGGCAGGUCUCUGGGCUGUAACUGACGCUGAGAAGCGAAAGCAUGGGGAGCGAACAGGAUUAGAUACCCUGGUAGUCCAUGCCGUAAACGUUGGGCACUAGGUGUGGGGAACAUUCCACGUUUUCCGCGCCGUAGCUAACGCAUUAAGUGCCCCGCCUGGGGAGUACGGCCGCA
rnacentral:rRNA from 1 species